UUCUAGUCAUAUAGACGAAGGGGAAGUGAAAACCCGUAAGGGCGCUUUUCGGGAGAAAGUCGAAAAAAAAAAGAGGGGCAUUUGAAAAAUGGGGUCAUGGGUCAAGUCUUGCAACUCGUCCUCCAUUCAUCAUUGGCCUUCGGGAUUCUGUUAAGUACACUUCAUUGGGGAAGAACUUCUUGUGUUUGGAUUAGGAUUGCUUUGUAAGUGCAAUUUACAUUUCUUGAUUUUAAUUUCCAACAAUUUAAAUUUCCUGUUAUCAAC
rnacentral:misc_RNA from 1 species